UUGACCUCGGAUCAGGNAGGGAUACCCGCUGAACUUAA
rnacentral:rRNA from 1 species